rnacentral:rRNA from 1 species
ACGCACGCUGGCGGCGUGCUUAACACCUGCAAGUCGAACGGAAAGGCCCUGCUUGCAGGGUACUCGAGUGGCGAACGGGUGAGUAACACGUGGGUGAUCUGCCCUGCACUUCGGGAUAAGCUUGGGAAACUGGGUCUAAUACCGGAUAGGAACCAUCUUUAGUGUGGUGGUUGGAAAGUUUUUUCGGUGUAGGAUGAGCUCGCGGCCUAUCAGCUUGUUGGUGGGGUAAUGGCCUACCAAGGCGGCGACGGGUAGCCGGCCUGAGAGGGUGUACGGCCACAUUGGGACUGAGAUACGGCCCAGACUCCUACGGGAGGCAGCAGUGGGGAAUAUUGCACAAUGGGCGCAAGCCUGAUGCAGCGACGCCGCGUGGGGGAUGAAGGCCUUCGGGUUGUAAACUCCUUUCGCUAGGGACGAAGCUUUGUUGUGACGGUACCUAGAUAAGAAGCACCGGCUAACUACGUG